rnacentral:lncRNA from 1 species
CACCACAGUACUAAUUUUAAACGAGUUUUUUUUUUUACAGAAGUAUGGCGCAAAGAAAUGGUGCAAGAGGAUUGGAAGAAUAAACUUAUUAUAAAGUUCGCAAAGAAAGGAGACCUGACAAGUUGCAGCAACUGGAGAGGGAUCACAUUGCUAUCAGUGGUAGCAAUGGGCAGAGUGAUAAUUAAAAGGAUUGCAGGAGGAGUUGAUAAGAAAUUGAGAAGCGAGCAAGCAGGUUUUCGCAGAGGAAAAAGCAAAACACAGCAGAUAUUUGUCCUGAGAAACAUGAGGAUAUGAAGCAAAGGAUUGGAAAAGCCUGUGGUGCAUUUAACAAGCUGUGUAAGAUAUGGAGGAGUGGACAAUUAACCCACAGAAUCAAAUUUCAAAAAGUCCAAUGUAAUCAGUGUUUAAUUGUAUGGAUGUGAAACGUGGAAGAUGAUGACUAAAGGUGAUGAGGAUAGACUAGACACCUACGCAUGGAAAGAAAUGACAUAACAUAGGCCUACCAAGAGUUGCUUUAAUAUGGACACUAGAGGGCAGAAGGAAUGUGGGAAGGCCAAGGAAAAAUUGGAGAAGAACUGUGGAAAAGGAAAGAAACCAAAAGGGAUACCAAACGUGGGCAGAGGCAGCAUUAGCAGCUCAAGACCGAGGAGCCUGGAUGAGGAGAGAUGCUAGAAGCCCUAUUCUCCACUCGGAGACAAGGAAAUAGUAGUAGUAGUAGUGGUAAACCGGAGGCAGAUAAAACAUAGGCCUGCCGUUUUGAUUUUGUUGUUGUUUUGUUUCUUCUUCUUUUCUUCCGAUAUUGUACAGACCACCAGAAAUGGUGUAUUACGUACAUCAAUACGUCUUCUCCUUAUAUUUACUACUGUUAAGGUUUCUGUACUUUUUCAGUAAGCCUAUGUUAUGGCGAUUACUAAUUAAAGUUCAAAUUAAUAGGCCUACAUAUCGACAAUUAAAUGUACACAUUAUCGUUUUAUCGGAUACGUGAAUUAUGACAUUCAACUUAUCAGUCAUCAGUUGAUAUGAUUAUAGCUAAAUUUUUAUUUUUUAAGACAAUGUGGUUUGGAAUUACUUCACUUUUAAUAACUCUAAACUGAAUUACAGUUAUGCCCUUGUUCCGUAUCCUACUUAAGCCUGGCGUGCGUCCUAUGCCCGCUGCGUGCCAAUAUGAGAAAGUGUAUUUUGAGUAGGUAACCGGUUAAUAAGGUCGUACUGUUAUUUCUUUUGUUUUUUGUUUUUUGUUUUGUCACAGAUAGUCGAGUGCCCUCCUGCGGUCAGACAUCGCUAUGAAGUGAUUUCCGGUAUGCGCAGGCGUACUGAAGUUUCUAAGCACGUCUCUCAGAAAAGUUAGCACGGCACGAUGAUAUGCGGUUGUUCCACCCAUUAGUCACUAGAAGUGUAGAUUGCGAACACGUCGGACUUCGUAAUUCUGAGAUACAAUGCUUUGAACCACGGAUUGGAAUAUGGUUAUUUUUCGAUUUUAAGGAUUUAUACGUGAAGGUUAUUUGAAGAGUAUUUCAACAUGAUAAUUGUUUGAGGAUCAGUUGUGUACAGGAGGGGGGUGAUACAUUUGAAUCUAAAUGACUUAAACCGGAUGAAUUACAUUAACAAUUGUCAAAAUAGGAUGUUUUGAACCUUUUAGUUGGUUACUACUGUACAACAUGGGGUUAAUAUGAAUGCUGAUCAGAAAAUCUAUGAGACUGAGAUUCAAGUCUGAACUGGAAUGACGAAGGCUGGUUUUAGUUAAAGAGAGCUGUUAACAAAAUACGGGACAAAGCAAUGAAUAAGAAGUAGCUGAAAAACAUGAAUUAUAAAGAGGUUAGUGUGGGCUUUGGAUGUGAGUCAUGGACAUUAAAGAAGCAGGAUAUUUAUAGACUGGAAGCGUUAAAUGUAUAAGCUGUGGUGAAGGUUGGAAAAGAUCAGACAUAACAGAGAGAAUCUUAUGUAUGAGGAAGUACUAACAAGGGUAGAGAAGAAUCCCGAUCUGAUGAUUUACAGUCGUCAUGAUGAGAAAGAAGAAAUGGAUUGGUUCUAGUUGUGGAAUAGAAUGAUAGAUGAAGGAUGUAGUUGAAAGAAAAGUGCAUGGAAUUAACCCAGAAAACUGUAGGCCUACACGUCAGUGAAAGAAAAGCAUUAAAUGGAAGGAGAUUGAAAAAGUUUGUGUGAAGAAUCUUCCUUACGUCGCACAGAACUCACGGUUGCAAAAAAAA